rnacentral:rRNA from 1 species
GAUGAACGCUCGCUACAGGCUUAACACAUGCAAGUCGAGGGGAAACGACAUCGAAAGCUUGCUUUUGAUGGGCGUCGACCGGCGCACGGGUGAGUAACGCGUAUCCAACCUGCCCAUCACUUGGGAAUAACCUUGCGAAAGUAAGACUAAUACCCAAUGAUAUCCCACGAAGGCAUCGGAAUGGGAUUAAAGAUUUAUCGGUGAUGGAUGGGGAUGCGUCUGAUUAGCUUGUUGGCGGGGUAGCGGCCCACCAAGGCAACGAUCAGUAGGGGUUCUGAGAGGAAGGUCCCCCACAUUGGAACUGAGACACGGUCCAAACUCCUACGGGAGGCAGCAGUGAGGAAUAUUGGUCAAUGGGCGAGAGCCUGAACCAGCCAAGUAGCGUGCAGGAAGACGGCCCUAUGGGUUGUAAACUGCUUUUAUAAGGGAAUAAAGUGGGUCACGUGUGACUUUUUGCAUGUACCUUAUGAAUAAGAACCGGCUAAUUCCGUG